rnacentral:rRNA from 1 species
GAAGGCCUUUUGGUUGUAAAGCACUUUAAGCAGUGAAGAAGACUCUAUGGUUAAUACCCAUAGACGAUGACAUUAGCUGCAGAAUAAGCACCGGCUAACUCUGUGCCAGCAGCCGCGGUAAUACAGAGGGUGCAAGCGUUAAUCGGAAUUACUGGGCGUAAAGCGAGCGUAGGUGGCUUAAUAAGUCAGAUGUGAAAUCCCCGGGCUUAACCUGGGAACUGCAUCUGAUACUGUUAGGCUAGAGUAGGUGAGAGGGAGGUAGAAUUUCAGGUGUAGCGGUGAAAUGCGUAGAGAUCUGAAGGAAUACCGAUGGCGAAGGCAGCCUCCUGGCAUCAUACUGACACUGAGGUUCGAAAGCGUGGGUAGCAAACAGGAUUAGAUAC